AAUGAACGCUGGCGGCGUGCUUAACACAUGCAAGUCGAACGCGAACGUCACUUCGGUGGCUAGUAGAGUGGCGAACGGGUGAGUAACACGUGGACAACCUGCCCGAAUGUGGGGGACAACUUUUGGAAACGGAAGCUAAUACCGCAUGUUCUCGAAGAUCGCAUGAUCUUCGUGGAAAGGCCGCUUCGGCGGUCGCAUUCGGAGGGGUCCGCGGCUGAUUAGCUAGUUGGUGGGGUAACGGCCUACCAAGGCGACGAUCAGUAGCCGGCCUGAGAGGGCGAUCGGCCACACUGGAACUGAGACACGGUCCAGACUCCUACGGGAGGCAGCAGUGGGGAAUAUUGGACAAUGGGCGAAAGCCUGAUCCAGCAACGCCGCGUGGAGGAUGAAGGCCUUCGGGUUGUAAACUCCUGUCAGGUGGAACGAAAAGCUCUGUCUAAUAAAUAGAGUCUAUGACGGUACCACCAGAGGAAGCCCCGGCUAACUCCG
rnacentral:rRNA from 1 species